rnacentral:rRNA from 1 species
UGCCAGCCGCCGCGGUAAUACGGAGGGUGCAAGCGUUGUUCGGAAUCAUUGGGCGUAAAGCGAGUGUAGGCGGUUUGAUAAGUCGGAUGUGAAAGCCCAGGGCCCAACCCUGGAAUUGCAUUCGAUACUGCCGAACUAGAGUAUGGUAGAGGGAAGUGGAAUUUCCGGUGUAGCGGUGAAAUGCGUAGAUAUCGGAAGGAACACCAGUGGCGAAGGCGGCUCCCUGGCCAAAGACUGACGCUCAUGUGCGAAAGUGUGGGUAGCGAACAGGAUUAGAUA